CCUCUCUCUCUCACUAUAAAUAUAAUAUUCAAUUUCAUUUCAUUUCUUGAUCGUCACAUCAACAACCCUCAAGAAUCCUCUUUUCCUUUGUUUCCUUAAUUUAAUUUUAAUCUCUCACUGCCAUUGGCGGCGGCGGCGACACACCCUCUCCGGCAAGAUGACCGAUUCCUUUUAGCUCUUCCAAUCAGUCUAAUGUCUUUAAUUAUUCAAGUUUCCAAAGGUUUUCAUCUACCACUCACUACGUUUUCCUUUUUAAUUCCAAUUUCCUUAAUUUUUUUAUUCUAUUAUUGCUAUCAGUAUAUCUAUAUGUAUCUUUUGAAAAUAUUACUUACUUUCUAAUUUUUGUAUCAUUUUUUGUUUAUUUUUCAAUUCAAGAAUUACCUGUUUUAAUCAUUUUCCAACUUUCUUUUGGUAGUCUUGACUCUUUUUCUUGAUUAAUUACGUCCUACAAUUUUUGUUUGUUUGAUUUUGAUUAAUAUCUGUUCUUUUUUCAUGAUUUUUUUUAAAAAAGUUGUAGUUUGUAUGAGAUUAUAUUAGAUUACUAUAAUCUUGAUACAAGAAUUGCAAACGAUUAAGUUUCUUACAAAAUAUCAAGAAAGGAAAAAAGAAAAAGAAAAAUCUAGGGUCUAGGGUUUAUGUUAUGAAUCAUUUCUUUAAUCCAUCAAUUUAUUUUUUCUUUCAUUUUCCUUCAAAUUCUAGGGGUUUUAAUUAGGUAAAGUAAUGUGAAAUUAAUCUUCUACUUAGUUUGGGAAAUUGUUGCAUCUAAAGGGAGUUGCAAGAAGGUUUUAAAUGGUUUACAAAGAGAUAUAGCAACAAUAGGUUUUGAAUUUGAUCAAUGCACUUUGUUUAAUAAUACUCUUUCAUUUUAACAUCAAAGGAAAGAAUAUAAUUUUCAAAGUUAUUGUUGCUUCAUCAUGAUUUCAUUUUCUUUAGGUACCAAUAAAUUAUGGCCAAGAAGUGGUUUAUCAAACAUUUUAUCUAUUUGCACGACGACGUAGGUGAACGGUACACACUCAUUUUUUAACUCUACAAGUAUAUAUUUUCAAUCUCAACUCUAAGGUGGUGUUAUUUUAGUAACUUUGUAAUUUAACUAGUUAUAUACUAUGCAUAUUUAGCUAGGAAACAUCAAUCUACCCUAUUUAUUUUUUCAAGAAAAUAGUGCUCUUAUAUUAUGAUUAAGAAUUUAGGGUUAGAAGCAAUUAUUUAUCUAAUAUAUACAUUAUUCUAAUUAAAUUAGGAUGUCAAAGUUUGAGACAUAAGGUUGGUGCUUAUGCUGGUACAAGAAAUUGUGAUAUAAAUUAUUUUUAUUAUUUAAAGGAAAUAGUAUGUAUUGUACCUCUCUAUUAAGUUAAAGUUAAGAGGUAGGUAAUUUAUGUGAGUAGAUUGAGGUUUAAUUUAGACUAUUAUUCUUUUAGUCAAUAGUAAAAAUACUAUAAGAAUUAUUUAUUGAUAAGGACAUAUUCUAUGUUUUAUAGGAUACAAGAAGCUGGUAGGAUACAAAAACUCUAUCUAAUGCCAAUAUGGAUAAAACAACAUACAUAUUUUAAUCUAUAUAAGGUGGAGAUGUGUGAGGAGGGACAAGGUUGGUAAAAAAAAAAGAGGAGGAAUAAGGAAGGAAAAAAAGAAAAAAAAAAGAGGAAUAAGGAAGGGGAAAAAAAGAAAAAAAAAAGAGGAAUAAGGAAGUAAAAAAAAAAGGAAAAAAAGGAAAAAAAAAAGGAGGAAUAAGGAAGGAAAAAAAGAAAAAAAUUAAAUAGGAGGAAUAAGAAAGGGAAAAAAGAAAAAAAAAAGAGGAAUAAGGAAGGAAACAAAAGAAAAAAAAAAGAGGAAUAAGGAAGGAAAAAAAAGAAAAAAAAUAGUAGAUUGUAAAAAUAAGCUUUUGCCCAUAUAUGUUUAAUUAUCCUUUUAGAAAUUCCUUUUAGUGGUUGAGAAUUUUAAAUUGGUUUUAUAUUUUUUC
rnacentral:lncRNA from 1 species